AGUUUAGAGACAUUCCACAUCGGCUACUUGAGGAGAAAACGAGCAGUAUAUAUAAGUGUACACACUUACACUAGAUUAAACGGCUCAGAGGAAGAGAGAGCUCCCCACGCGCGCGCCGCCGCCGCCGUCCGGCCGGCUCGGUUCGGCGUGGGUGUGGGCUUGGGCUUGGGCUUGGGCUUGGGCUUGGGCUUGGUCUUGGGUCUUGGGUCUUGGGUCUUGGGUCUUGGGUCUUGGG
rnacentral:lncRNA from 1 species